rnacentral:rRNA from 1 species
AUUGAACGCUGGCGGCAGGCCUAACACAUGCAAGUCGAGCGAGCGGCGGACGGGUGAGUAAUGUAUGGGGACUGCCCGAUAGAGGGGGAUAACUACUGGGAACGGUGGCUAAUACCGCAUACUAUCGGAUAACCCAUAUGGGAUUAGCUAGUAGGGGGGGUAAAGGCUCACCUAGGCGACGAUCUCUAACUGGUCUGAGAGGAUGAUAAGCCAUACUGGGACUGAGACACGGCCCAGACUCCUAGGGAGGAAGCAGUGGGGAAGAUUGCACAGUGGGCGCAAGCCUGAUGCAGCCACGCCGCGUGUAUGAAGAAGGCCUUAGGGUUGUAAAGUACGUUAAGCGGGGAGGCGUUACCCGCAGAAGAAGCACCGGCUAACUCCGUGCCAGCAGCCGCGGUAAUAA